rnacentral:rRNA from 1 species
AAUUAACGCUGGCAGAGUGCAUAACACAUGCAAGUCGAGCGAAACUAGUCGCAAGAUUAGUUUAGCGGCAGACGAGUGAGUAACACGUAAAGAAUCUACCCUUGAAUGGCGAAUAACCAAUCGAAAGGCUGGCUAAUACGCCGUACUCUCCCUUGAAGGCAUCUUCGAGGGAGGAGAGAUCCGCAAGGAUCGUUCUUGGAGGACUUUGCGGCCCAUCAGCUAGUUGGCGGUGUAAUAGACCACCAAGGCUACGACGGGUACCCGGCCUGAAAGGGCGGACGGGCACGAUGGCACUGAGACACGGGCCAUACUCCUACGGGAGGCAGCAGUGGGGAAUUUUGGACAAUGGGCGAAAGCCUGAUCCAGCAACUCUGCGUGAGGGACGAAGGUCUUCGGAUCGUAAACCUUCUUUUACAUGGGAAGAAUACCCGACAAGGGUUCGACGGUACCAUGUGAAUAAGCCACGGCUAACUAUGUGCCAGCAGCCGCCGCGGUAC